rnacentral:misc_RNA from 1 species
GAUGAAGAACGCAGCGAAAUGCGAUAAGUAAUGUGAAUUGCAGAAUUCAGUGAAUCAUCGAAUCUUUGAACGCACAUUGCGCCCCUUGGUAUUCCGAGGGGCAUGCCUGUUCGAGCGUCAUUAUAACCCCUCAAGCUCAGCUUGGUGUUGGGGCCUGCCGCACGGGCAGCCCUUAAAAUCAGUGGCGGUGCUAUCUGGCUCUAAGCGUAGUAAUUCUUCUCGCUAUAGAGUCCCGGUGGAUGCUUGCCAUUAACCCCCAAUUUUCUAUGGUUGACCUCGGAUCAGGUAGGGAUACCCGCUGAACUUAAGCAUAUCAAUAAGCGAGGA